rnacentral:rRNA from 1 species
AAAACUUUCAACAACGGAUCUCUUGGUUCUGGCAUCGAUGAAGAACGCAGCGAAAUGCGAUACGUAGUGUGAAUUGCAGAAUUCAGUGAAUCAUCGAAUCUUUGAACGCACAUUGCGCCCUUUGGUAUUCCAAAGGGCAUGCCUGUUCGAGCGUCAUUU